UUGAUCCUGCCGGACCCGACUGCUAUCAGAGUGGGACUAAGCCAUGCGAGUCAACGCAGCAAUGCGUGGCAUACGGCUCAGUAACACGUAGUCAACAUGCCCAGGGGACGUGGAUAACCUCGGGAAACUGAGGAUAAACCGCGAUAGGCCAAGGUUUCUGGAAUGGACACUGGCUGAAACCUACAUGGCCCCUGGAUUGGACUGCGGCCGAUCAGGCUGUUGGUGAGGUAAUGGCCCACCAAACCUGUAACCGGUACGGGCUUUGAGAGAAGGAGCCCGGAGAUGGGCACUGAGACAAGGGCCCAGGCCCUAUGGGGCGCAGCAGGCGCGAAAAUUCUGCAAUAGGCGAAAGCUUGACAGAGUUACUCUGAGUGAUGCCCGCUAAGGGCAUCUUUUGGCACCUCUAAAAAUGGUGCAGAAUAAGGGGUGGGCAAGUCUGGUGUCAGCCGCCGCGGUAAUACCAGCACCCCGAGUGGUCGGGACGAUUAUUGGGCCUAAAGCAUCCGUAGCUUGUUCUGCAAGUCUUCCGUUAAAUCCACCUGCUCAACAGAUGGGCUGCGGGAGAUACUACAGGGCUAGGAGGCGGGAGAGGCAAGCGGUACUCAGUGGGUAGGGGUAAAAUCCUCUGAUCCACUGAAGACCACCAGUGGCGAAGGCGGCUUGCCAGAACGCGCUCGACGGUGAGGGAUGAAGCUGGGGGAGCAAACCGGAUUAGAUACC
rnacentral:rRNA from 1 species